rnacentral:rRNA from 1 species
GUUGAACGCUGGCGGCGUGCCUAAUACAUGCAAGUCGAGCGAACGGACGAGAAGCUUGCUUCUCUGAUGUUAGCGGCGGACGGGUGAGUAACACGUGGAUAACCUACCUAUAAGACUGGGAUAACUUCGGGAAACCGGAGCUAAUACCGGAUGAUAUUUUGAACCGCAUGGUUCAAAAGUGAAAGACGGUCUUGCUGUCACUUAUAGAUGGAUCCGCGCUGCAUUAGCUAGUUGGUAAGGUAACGGCUUACCAAGGCAACGAUGCAUAGCCGACCUGAGAGGGUGAUCGGCCACACUGGAACUGAGACACGGUCCAGACUCCUACGGGAGGCAGCAGUAGGGAAUCUUCCGCAAAGGGCGAAAGCCUGACGGAGCAACGCCGCGUGAGUGAUGAAGGUCUUCGGAUCGUAAAACUCUGUUAUUAGGGAAGAACAUAUGUGUAAGUAACUGUGCACAUCUUGACGGUACCUAAUCAGAAAGCCACGGCUAACUACGUG